rnacentral:rRNA from 1 species
GACGAACGCUGGCGGCGUGCCUAAUACAUGCAAGUAGAACGCACAGUUUAUACCGUAGCUUGCUACACCAUAAACUGUGAGUUGCGAACGGGUGAGUAACGCGUAGGUAACCUGCCUGGUAGCGGGGGAUAACUAUUGGAAACGAUAGCUAAUACCGCAUAAUAUUAAUUAUUGCAUGAUAAUUGAUUGAAAGAUGCAAUUGCAUCACUACCAGAUGGACCUGCGUUGUAUUAGCUAGUAGGUGAGUUAACGGCUCACCUAGGCGACGAUACAUAGCCGACCCGACAGGGUGAACCGCAUCAGCGGGACUGAGAGACGGACCAGACUCCAACGAGUGGAAGCAACAGCGAAUAUCCGCAAAUGCACGCAAGCCAGACCGAGCAACGCCGCGUGAGUGAAGAAGGUGUUCGGAUCGUACAGCUGUGUUGUAAGCGAAGAAAGCGUGUGAGAGUGGCAACUGAUCACUGUGAAGGUAUGAAACAAGAAAGGGACCGCAAGAUCCGU